rnacentral:rRNA from 1 species
ACGGGAGGCAGCAGUGGGGAAUAUUAGGCAAUGGGGGCAACCCUGACCUAGCAACGUCGCGUGAAGGAAGAAGGCCUUCGGGUUGUAAACUUCUUUUAUGAGGGACGAAGGAAGUGACGGUACCUCAUGAAUAAGCCACGGCUAACUACGUGCCAGCAGCCGCGGUAAUACGUAGGUGGCGAGCGUUGUCCGGAUUUACUGGGUGUAAAGGGCGCGUAGGCGGGAUUGCAAGUCAGAUGUGAAAUCCAUGGGCUCAACCCAUGAACUGCAUUUGAAACUGUGAUUCUUGAGUAUCGGAGAGGCAAGCGGAAUUCCUAGUGUAGCGGUGAAAUGCGUAGAUAUUAGGAGGAACACCAGUGGCGAAGGCGGCCUGCUGGACGAAAACUGACGCUGAGGCGCGAAAGCGUGGGGAGCAAACAGGAUUAGAUACCCUGGUA